rnacentral:rRNA from 1 species
CAGACAUAAAAGGUGGCUUCGGCUACCACUUACAGAUGGACCCGCGGCGCAUUAGCUAGUUGGUGAGGUAACGGCUCACCAAGGCGACGAUGCGUAGCCGACCUGAGAGGGUGAUCGGCCACACUGGGACUGAGACACGGCCCACACUCCUACGGGAGGCAGCAGUAGGGAAUCUUCCGCAAUGGACGAAAGUCUGACGGAGCAACGCCGCGUGAGUGAUGAAGGUUUUCGGAUCGUAAAGCUCUGUUGUUAGGGAAGAACAAGUGCCGUUCAAAUAGGGCGGCACCUUGACGGUACCUAACCAGAAAGCCACGGCUAACUACGUGCCAGCAGCCGCGGUAAUACGUAGGUGGCAAGCGUUGUCCGGAAUUAUUGGGCGUAAAGGGCUCGCAGGCGGUUUCUUAAGUCUGAUGUGAAAGCCCCCGGCUCAACCGGGGAGGGUCAUUGGAAACUGGGGAACUUGAGUGCAGAAGAGGAGAGUGGAAUUCCACGUGUAGCGGUGAAAUGCGUAGAGAUGUGGAGGAACACCAGUGGCGAAGGCGACUCUCUGGUCUGUAACUGACGCUGAGGAGCGAAAGCGUGGGGAGCGAACAGGAUUAGAUACCCUGGUAGUCCACGCCGUAAACGAUGAGUGCUAAGUGUUAGGGGGUUUCCGCCCCUUAGUGCUGCAGCUAACGCAUUAAGCACUCCGCCUGGGGAGUACGGUCGCAAGAUUGAAACUCAAAGGAAUUGACGGGGGCCCGCACAAGCGGUGGAGCAUGUGGUUUAAUUCAAAGCCACGCAAAGAAAUUUCCCAGGUCUUGGACUCCUCUUGAAAACCCAAAAAAAGGAACCCCCUUCCGGGGCAAAAUGAACAGGUGGGGCAUGGUUGUCGUCAGCUCGUGUCGUGAGAUGUUGGGUUAAGUCCCGCAACGAGCGCAACCCUUGAUCUUAGUUGCCAGCAUUCAGUUGGGCACUCUAAGGUGACUGCCGGUGACAAACCGGAGGAAGGUGGGGAUGACGUCAAAUCAUCAUGCCCCUUAUGACCUGGGCUACACACGUGCUACAAUGGACAGAACAAAGGGCAGCGAAACCGCGAGGUUAAGCCAAUCCCACAAAUCUGUUCUCAGUUCGGAUCGCAGUCUGCAACUCGACUGCGUGAAGCUGGAAUCGACUAGUAAUCGCGGAUCAGCAUGUCCGCGGUGAAUACGUUCCCGGGCCUUGUACACG